GUUCUGGAGAUUUCUCCACCCAGAUUUCUCAACUGGCUGUGAUGUAGUUGUUGUUUUUGAAAGAAAGAAAGAUAAUAAGUAAUAAUAAAUUAUAAUAUAUAGGACGGUAGUUUGUCAGACCAGUGUGAAUGAAAUUCUGUCUGUAUAUAGGUGUGUGUGUGACUGUAAUAUCUGAUCUAGGAACCACUGUACAUACUGUGUGUGUGUGUGUGUGUGUGUGUGUGUGUGUGUGUGAGAGAGAGAGAGAGAGAUAGACAGACAGAGAGAGAGAGAUUUUAAUAAUUAUACCACACAGACACACACACACACACACACACACUUAUGCACACACACAUAUGCAGACGUGUGUGUUAUUGUAAUAUCUGAUCUGGGAUCUGUUGUGUAUAUGAGUGUGUAUGCAUGGUAGGCAUGUGUGUGUGUGUGUGUGCGUGUGUGUGUGUGAGAGAGAGAGAGAGAGAGAGAGUGUGUGAUCUAGAAUCUGCUGUGUGUAUAUACAGUAGGUGUUGUGUGUGUGUGUGGGGGGGGUAUAGUUGUAUUGUGUAUGUUGGCAUGUAAAAAGCAGCUGUUUAAAGAAUGAGUGUGUGUGUGUAACUGUAAUAAUCGAUCAGGGAUCUGUUGUGUGUAUAUAGUUGUACAGUGUAUAUAGGGCUAUUACUGUAAUAACUGAUUUAGGAUCUGCUGUGUGUGUAUAUACUUGUGCAGUGUAUAUAGGGUUGUUAUUGUAAUAACGGAUCUGGGAUGUAAUUUUUGUGUAUAGUCAUGCAGUGUAUAUAGGGUUGCUAUUAUAAUAACUGAUCUGGGAUCUGCUGUAUGUAUAUGGUUGUGUAGUGUGUAUAGGGUUAUUAUUGUAAUAACAGAUCCGGGGUCUACUGUGUGUAUAGUUCUGCAGUGUAUAUAGGGUUGCUAUUAUAACAACUGAUCUGGGAUCUACUGUGUGUGUAUAAUCAUGCAGUGUGUAUAGGGUUGUUAUUGUAAUAACAGAUCUGGGAUCUGCUGUGUGUGUAUAUAGUUGUGCAGUGCAUAUAGGGUUGUUGUUGUAAUAACUGAUCUGGGAUCUGCUGUGUGUGUAUAUAGUUGUGCAGUGUAUAUAGGGUUGUUGUAAUAACUGAUCUGGGAUCUGCGGUGUGUGUAUAGUUGUGCAGUGUAUAUUGGGUUGUUGUAAAAACUGAUCUGGGAUCUGCUGUGUGUGUAUAUAUAGUUGUGCAGUGUAUAUAGGGUUGUUAUUGUAAUAACUGAUCUGGGAUCUGCUGUGUGUGUAUAUAGUUGUGCAGUGUAUAUAGGGUUGUUGUAAUAACUGAUCUGGGAUCUGCGGUGUGUGUAUAGUUGUGCAGUGUAUAUUGGGUUGUUGUAAAAACUGAUCUGGGAUCUGCUGUGUGUGUAUAUAUAGUUGUGCAGUGUAUAUAGGGUUGUUAUUGUAAUAACUGAUCUGGGAUCUGCUGUGUGUGUAUAUAGUUGUGCAGUGUAUAUAGGGUUGUUAUUGUAAUAACUGAUCUGGGAUCUGCUGUGUGUGUAUAUAGUUGUGCAGUGUAUAUAGGGUUGUUAUUGUAAUAACUGAUCUGGGAUCUGCUGUGUGUGUAUAUAGUUGUGCAGUGUAUAUAGGGUUGUUAUUGUAAUAACUGAUCUGGGAUCUGCUGUGUGUGUAAAUAGUUGUGCAGUGUAAAUAGGGUUGUUAUUAUAAUAAAUAUAUGUAAUAUGUAAUAAAUAUCAAGGCAGAACUGCAGGUCAUGUGACUAUGAGUGGGACUGGAUUUAAAGCCAGGUUCAAACUGUGCAAUUUUGGCCACGAUUUGUUCGUCUGAGAAAAAUUUUGCGAAUCCUAAACGAUUCCUAUAAUCCUAGGCCAAAAUCUGUUGUCUUUGAGCGCUAGUUUGACAUGUUUCCUGGCAGCCGAUUAAAUUCUGGAAGUGUCAGAAGAUUUCAGGAACAGUCCUGUAGUGUGGCUUCACCUACUCCAUACGAGUCUUCUUGCGUACGUCAGUUUUUCACGUCUUGACUGUCAUACAGUCCGACAUUAAUGACGACUGAGAUCCUACAGUGUGACCCGGCUUACAGCGGGGAUCAUGUUCGUGCAGUCUGACAAGCAACAGUCGCAAAGGACUAUUAAUAAUCGUACAGUGUGCACCCGGCUUUAAUGAUAAAUAUCCCAUGAAUAACAAAUAAUCAUAAAUAUGAAUGAUGUCGGAUAAGCCAUGUUGAAUAAGGAUUUCUUUUUAAAUAUACAUUUUUUUAAAUCUGAAAAUGUUGCCUGCUCACCAGAGGUGGGCUGUUCACCCUAAGCUACUGUAUCACCAUCAUUAAACAAGAAUAACAAACACUUCUCAGUUGCCACCACACCCAGCAUGGCUUCACACCAGUAUGAAGAAACACAAAGGCUACAUGCUAGCAUGUCUUAAAGUCUUGUCUGUAUGAAGGAAACAUACGGUAUCUCACAAAAGUGAGUACACCCCUC
ensembl:lncRNA